GCAAACGGUAUUGUAUGAUAUGGUGGAAGAGGCAUGAAUCUCUUGCAAGUCUCAGAUAUGGGUUUCUGCCAUAUCUCUGAGGAAAACUUUUGGAUUGUAGGAGGUUGAUCUGAUGGGAGGUGGGAAUAAAAAGAGCACAGCAAAGUGAGAAGCUUUGUUCUUAGGAUGAUUUAGUCCAUAACUACUUUGCUUUCUUUACAAAAUUUCGUUGUUUUGUAUUCCAUAAACGUUUUUGUAUCCCCUUCCGGUCUUGGAAGGAAGAAGAGAAAAUACACUUCUAAAUAAAUGGGUUCAAAUAAUGUAUGCCAUUUAUAUCCAAAUGGAUCGAACAUUGGCAAAUGCUAACAUAGAUGAUAUAGAAAGUCUGUUAGGAAAUAUUUUGGACCAAAAGUCUUGCAUGCCCAAGUCAAUUGAAAGAAACAUCCAAUGAUCAAGCCAUUUUAGCCUUGUUUGGCUUGAGGCUUAGAAACUGCAGUAGUUUUUCUUAUUUCUGUAAAUUUGAUAUAAAAACGCGGUAUAGUAUUGACUUGUAGGAAUAUCGGUCAAGAUAAAAAAUUAUAAUGGGCAUGGUGUACAACCCAAUUGCUUGUACAACGAACAAGACUAAACUCAACUCUUCUAAAAGAGGAUGCUUCAAACCUUUAUGUCUCCCAAAAUAACUUACUACAUAGGAGCCAAAGCAUUUUCUAGAAAACUUCCUGACUAAAUCCGGAAUAUGAAGUCCUUGAAGGUGUUGUCUUCCUCUCAAUACAAAUUCCAGUGAUCCAUUCCUAUGUCUAACAGGAACCUUACACGAUCACUUGGCUACGAUUCGCAGACAAUAAAUUGCAUGGUAUAUAUGCUCCCAUCAUCAUUGUCAAAACUGAAAAAUCUGAUUAGUUUUAUUCUGGGCUUUUUAUGAGGUACAGAAAAUUGCACCUUAAUUCCCAUUAAGGUAUAACACUUUUUCUAAUUACCACCAAAUCUAGGCAUGUGCUGAGAAUGUCAGAGAACAAAUUACCACUAACGGGGGCAAACGGGCUUCAAGACCGUCUGGGUUUAAGCAGAGUCAGGACCCAAGUUAUUUUGGGUUCAGCAAGAACAAUCUUCAAGAUUCACGGGUUUCAAGGAGAGACAGGACUCAAGAUUCUUUGGAAACAAAAAA